CGCUCCACUCCUGCCGCCCAGCCUGCGCUGCGCUGCGCUGUGCACGCGCCAACCCCUUGCUCCUCCCCCGCCGUUGUGACGCGCGAGCUCCCCAUUGGCCGCGGCGGCUCGGACCGCUGCGUGCAACCGCGACGGCGCCCUUGCGUGGCGGGAGCGGCGGUGCGGGACGCUGCCCGGCUCCGUGUCGCUGCGGGCUGUGCUGGGCGCUGCCCCCCCCCCGGGCAGUGCGGGCGAGCGGCGGCCGGCAGGGGUUGUGCGGCGUGUUUGAGCCGUGCCGUGCGGGGCGCGCAGAGACGGGCUCCUCACUCGCGCGUGCCUUGCCUCAUAGACUGCGGGAUGAGAGAGAUCCUGUGUGUCAGACUACAGCAGGGCUUCAGUAGUCUUCCCCCGUGGCUACUGCGGAGUACAAAGCUGUUACAGCACAAUGGCACCGAGAAACGGGCAAUAAGUCACAAAGAGACCUCUCUGACGUUGCAAAGACGUGCAUGCCCGAACAGUUCAGCGGGGGCCACUAUCCCUCGUUUCGUUUUCACCACUGCGAGGAGCAAAAGCACUGCUGUCUCUGGGAUCCCGCUUGGUGGUUUAUUCUGUCUAUUCUGCAUGAAAGGAGCCGUCACUGAAUGUUUUCAGCUAAAAUCUCUUGUACUCUUACAAGUGUAAUAAAAUAUGGACAUACCUGGC